rnacentral:rRNA from 1 species
GGUUAUACGAGAGGCCCAAGUUGAUAGCCACCGGCGUAAAGAGUGGUUAAGAAAUCCAUAACAAAUUAGAGUCGAACGCUUUCAAGGCUGUUAUACGCACCCGAAAGUAAGAAGCACAACAACGAAAGUGGCUCUACUAAUUCUGAACCCACGAAAGCUAAGGUACAAACUGGGAUUAGAUACC